UCCUCCAUCUGUUGGACGAAUGUCUCUAA
rnacentral:piRNA from 1 species